GGAGAAUUGAAAAUUGAUAAAGGAUGAUUAUUCUGCUAAGAUGUCAAACAAGGGUAUUGUUCCCUUGACACAUUCAUUGAAGUAUGAAAGAUUCUGAAUAUGAUAACUUGUAUUUAGACUCGAUAAUAAACAAAGAAACAUGACAGAAGAAUCAACUUCUAUACAAUACAUUAGAAUUCAUCCAACAGUUACAGUAUUAGACUCCAAAUGGCAUUGAUUCUAGUAAAGGAAAUGGACCCAUGUGAGGCUCUGUGGAAAGACUGUGAAAUGUGCCUUAUAUUAACCUAGGAAUACCAAGAACUUAUGAUAAAGCUGCUUCUGUUCUGGUGGGACAAUGAACAUCUCUUAUUUUCAGGUUCAACCACCCACUCUUUAUCAAGCUCUUGCACCUGCUCAAAUUGAUUUCCAAAAUAUAUGAACAAAGGGACAAUUUUUUUGAGAUUUAAGCUAUGAAAUUAACAUUUCUGCAAUUCUGCUUUAUCAGAGCUAUGAGGGCAUGCACCUUUGGUCAAUGAAUACAGAUAUUUGCCUUCAAAAAGUAGAUAUGGUAAAUUGCCUUGAAAGGGUUGCAAUUUGGCCAUUUUGUCAUAAAGAUGGAAGCUCAAUGCUUGAAUUCCACUUUAGUGUGGAGGAAUCUGUCCUGCAAGAAGUCAGUAGCACACAUACUGAGGCCUAAAUGGAAAAUAGCGAUAAUUGCUAUUGCAAAUGUUGAUAUAUAGCAUGAAGGAGUCUCCGUAGCUUAUUACUGCUCAGAAUUCUGAGUAAGAGCCAAAUUUGCCAUCUAUCUUAAUAUAAGGAAUAUGUCUUAUCUUGAGCCAUUCAUUCACAUUACCCUUCAUGAACUGCUGUAGUAGAAGAGGACAUCUUUCUAUACGUAGUUCCAGAACUGAGGGAGGCAAGCCCUUCUUGGGAAAGGAUGUAAGCUUAGGACAGUCAGAGAUCCAUAGCUCCUGAAGAGAGGUGAGGUUCUGAAAGCCUCUGCAGGAAAGGUACUCCAGAUUUGGGAAAUCGCGAAUGCGUAGCCUAGUUAGAGUUGGAGGCAGCAUCAUUCCUAUCUCAUCUGAAGGAAAGGAUACAAUAUGAGAGCACCCACCUUGAAUGUACAGACUUCUAAGAGAGGUUAGUUUGUGCAUUCCCCAAUUAAACAAUAGCUUACAGAUCUUAAGAUCUAUUAUCCAAAGAGAAGUUAGGCUGGUAGGAAGACCCUCUUCUGGGAAGGAUACAAUGUGGGGACAGUAAGUUAUCCUCAAUUCUUGAAGAGAUGUGAGGUUAUACAUGCGAUCAGGGAUGGCCUCGAGUUUCUCACAUUCAAUGAUAAUGAGCCUUCUCAGGCUGGCAGGCAACCCUCCUGGGAAGGAAACAACAUUUGAACAGUAAGAUAUUGAAAUCUCACGGAGAUUGCUCAGUUUAUGAAGACCUUCAGGCAAGGAUUUAAGGUUGUUACAAAACCAUAUAGAAAUAUCCUUCAGAGACAAGUUGUUGUAAAAACUGGCCACCAUUGACUUCAAAUUUUGACAAGAAUGGAUUGAGAGGUGUUUAAGCCCUGUUGAUAACCAGUCUCCUGAUGGUAAAGAUACGAGCUUUGGACAAGAAUGAAUUUGGAGGUGCUUAAGAGCUGCAGGCAAAUUGCCUUUUGGGGCUAUGGAUAUGAGAGAGUCACACCUUUCAACAAUCAGGUACUCAAGAAGAGAUGCAUUAUUGGAGCUACUGCUGAUAUUCACCUGAGAUGUCAUCAAUGAGGAUUCCUCCCCAUCAUCCAGCAAGCAAACCAAGUUCUUGCAAAUUUUUAUUUCCAGCUUUUUUAGAGUUGGAGGUAGCUGAUAUCUUCCAAAUGACGUCAGAGAAUCGCAUCCUUGAAUGCACAAGUGUUCGAGGCACAUGCUAUUACCAGUCACUGCAGCAGGUAAGGAAGUUAAACUAUUGCAGUUCAAGAUACGAAUCACUCUAAGCAUGCAAGGCAGACCAGCCACAGGAAAGGAAAGGAGUCUUGGACAAUCUUGAAUUUUUAGUUCUUUGAGGGACACAAGGCUAUGAAACCAUUGUGGUAGCUUCUCAAGGGUUUCACAUAAACUUAUUGUCAAAGAUCCUAUUUCACAAUUAGCCAGACGUUGUUGCAACUGCUCUUCUUCUUCUUCUUCUUCUUC
rnacentral:misc_RNA from 1 species